rnacentral:rRNA from 1 species
GAUGAACGCUGGCGGCGUGCCUAAUACAUGCAAGUCGAGCGAACAGACGAGGAGCUUGCUCCUCUGACGUUAGCGGCGGAUGGGUGAGUAACACGUGGAUAACCUACCUAUAAGACUGGGAUAACUUCGGGAAACCGGAGCUAAUACCGGAUAAUAUAUUGAACCGCAUGGUUCUAUAGUGAAAGACGGUUUUGCUGUCACUUAUAGAUGGAUCCGCGCCGCAUUAGCUAGUUGGUAAGGUAACGGCUUACCAAGGCAACGAUGCGUAGCCGACCUGAGAGGGUGAUCGGCCACACUGGAACUGAGACACGGUCCAGACUCCUACGGGAGGCAGCAGUAGGGAAUCUUCCGCAAUGGGCGAAAGCCUGACGGAGCAACGCCGCGUGUGUGAUGAAGGUCUUCGGAUCGUAAAACUCUGUUAUUAGGGAAGAACAAAUGUGUAAGUAAAUAUGCACGUCUUGACGGUACCUAAACAGAAAGCCACGGCUAACUACGUG